CGCGUAGGCGGCCAUGCGUGUCUUCCGUGAAAUCCCUCGGCUUAACUGAGGACGUGCGGAAGAAACUGCAAGGCUUGAGUCCGGGAGAGGGGGUGGAAUUCCCAGUGUAGCGGUGAAAUGCGUAGAUAUUGGGAGGAACACCGGUGGCGAAGGCGGCCCCCUGGACCGGUACUGACGCUGAGGCGCGAAAGCGUGGGUAGCAAAACGG
rnacentral:rRNA from 1 species